CCCGGGGACUGCUGGCCAGGUGAGCAGGUGGCCAGCAGCUUGGGCC
ensembl:miRNA